CCUACGGGAGGCAGCAGUGAGGAAUAUUGGUCAAUGGGCUUACGCCUGAACCAGCCAAGUCGCGUGAGGGAAGACUGCCCUAUGGGUUGUAAACCUCUUUUGUCAGGGAGCAAUUGGCGCUACGUGUAGCGUUAUCGAGAGUACCUGAAGAAAAAGCAUCGGCUAACUCCGUGCCAGCAGCCGCGGUAAUACGGAGGAUGCGAGCGUUAUCCGGAUUUAUUGGGUUUAAAGGGUGCGUAGGCGGUUUAGUAAGAUAGUGGUGAAAUCCCAGGGCUUAACUUUGGAAUUGCCAUUAUAACUAUUAGACUAGAAUUACAGAGAGGAUAGUGGAAUACCCAGUGUAGAGGUGAAAUUCGUAGAUAUUGGGUAGAACACCAGUGGCGAAGGCGACUAUCUGGCUGUACAUUGACGCUGAGGCUCGAAAGCAUGGGGAUCAAACAGGAUUAGAUACCCUAGUAGUC
rnacentral:rRNA from 1 species